GUGCUUGCUUCAGCAGCACAUUUACUAAAAUUGGAACGAUACAGAGAAGAUUAGCAUGGCCCCUGUGCAAGUGUAAUGGAAGACAGAAGGGUGGAUAAACAAUAU